CCUACGGGGGGCAGCAGUGGGGAAUAUUGCACAAUGGGCGCAAGCCUGAUGCAGCCAUGCCGCGUGUGUGAAGAAGGCCUUCGGGUUGUAAAGCACUUUCAGCGGGGAGGAAGGCGUUAAGGUUAAUAACCUUGGCGAUUGACGUUACCCGCAGAAGAAGCACCGGCUAACUCCGUGCCAGCAGCCGCGGUAAUACGGAGGGUGCAAGCGUUAAUCGGAAUUACUGGGCGUAAAGCGCACGCAGGCGGUCGGUCAAGUCGGAUGUGAAAUCCCCGGGCUCAACCUGGGAACUGCAUUCGAAACUGGCAGGCUAGAGUCUUGUAGAGGGGGGUAGAAUUCCAGGUGUAGCGGUGAAAUGCGUAGAGAUCUGGAGGAAUACCGGUGGCGAAGGCGGCCCCCUGGACAAAGACUGACGCUCAGGUGCGAAAGCGUGGGGAGCAAACAGGAUUAGAUACCCGGGUAGUC
rnacentral:rRNA from 1 species